rnacentral:rRNA from 1 species
AAUAGAUACCCGGGUAGUCCACGCCCUAAACGAUGUCAACUGGUUGUUGGGGAUUUACUUUCUCAGUAACGAAGCUAACGCGUGAAGUUGACCGCUCGGGGAGUACGGCCGCAAGGUUGAGACUCAAAGGAAUUGACGGGGACCCGCACAAGCGGUGGAUGAUGUGGUUUAAUUCGAUGCAACGCGAAAAACCUUACCCACCUUUGACAUGGCAGGAAGUUACCAGAGAUGGUUUCGUGCUCGAAAGAGAACCUGCACACAGGUGCUGCAUGGCUGUCGUCAGCUCGUGUCGUGAGAUGUUGGGUUAAGUCCCGCAACGAGCGCAACCCUUGCCAUUAGUUGCUACGAAAGGGCACUCUAAUGGGACUGCCGGUGACAAACCGGAGGAAGGUGGGGAUGACGUCAAGUCCUCAUGGCCCUUAUAGGUGGGGCUACACACGUCAUACAAUGGCCGGUACAAAGGGUCGCAAACCCGGCGAGGGGGAGCCAAUCCAUCAAAGCCGGUCGUAGUCCGGAUCGCAGUCUGCAACUCGACUGCGUGAAGUCGG